CAGGAGUGGGGUCAGCAGGAGGAACUCUACAGCUAUGGGAGAACCUGCGUUCACCUCUUUUCCAAGCCUGCCUGUUCUGGGGAAGCUCAAAAGGAACAUGAUGCCCUGGGCUUUACAGAAGAAACGAGAAAUCCACAUGGCCAAGGCCCAUCGGAGACGAGCUGCGAGGUCUGCUCUCCCCAUGAGACUCACCAGCUGCAUCUUCCGGAGGCCGGUGACAAGGAUCAGGUCUCAUCCUGACAACCAGGUCAGACGCAGAAAAGGGGACGAGCACCUGGAGAAGCCGCAGCAACUCUGCGCCUACCGGAGACUGCAGGCCCUGCAGCCCUGCAGCAGCCAAGGAGAAGGUUCAAGUCCACUGCAUUUGGAGAGCGUCUUAAGUAUCCUUGCACCGGGGACGGCCGGUGAAUCUCUGGACAGAGCUGGUGCUGAGCGUGUGCGCAGCCCGCUUGAGCCCACCCCUGGGCGGUUUCCAGCUGUGGCAGGGGGGCCAACCCCAGGAAUGGGUUG
rnacentral:lncRNA from 1 species